CCACCACACAGAUGCAGCAAAUUUCUAAAAGCCGAAGAGUUCAAGAUCAAGACCCUAGCUGAUUUAGUGUCUGAUGUGGGCCCACUUCGUGGUUUACAAACUUGCAAACAGUCAUCUCCUUGUCUAUCCUCACGUGGUGGACAGCAGAGAGAGGAGGCAAGUGCUGUCAUGCCUCUUCCUGUAAGAGCACUAAUCCCAUUCAUGAGGGCUUCACCCUCAUGACCCAACUACUUCCCAACAGCCCCACCUCCGAAUGCCAUCACAUUGGGGAUUAGGGCUUCAAUGCAUGAAUUUGGAAGGACAGUCCAUAACACACUCUCUGCCUUGUCAUCAAGUAGGGGAAGUGAGAGUGAGAGGGAAGGAGCCAGGACUGAGAGUGCCAAUGAGCAGGUCAGCUCUGCAGGCAACUGGAGCUCAUCCCCUCUGAGGACCCUCUAGAUCUGCAUAGAACAGUCCCCCAAGUUACACCCACAUGGGAAGGAAAUCAGAGUAUUUACCCUCUCCUCCUGUCUGUCAUUGUUUGAGGACUGCUCUCAGGACCUCCAUCACCGGGUGCAGGUCAGACAGAGACGCACUCCUGUGGUCAGAGAACACCCUCAGGCAGAGUUACAAGUCAUCAGAGCAGGGAGUCCUUGGCAUCUAUCCAUAUUGCCCAGGUGAUACGGGACAUUGGCAGUGUCUGCAACAAGCUACUUCAGAAUCCUGAGGGGAGCUGGCCCUGUGGGUCUUGG
rnacentral:lncRNA from 10 species